rnacentral:rRNA from 1 species
UUUUUUGUUUGGGUAGGGGAGCGUCGUGCAUGUGUUGAAGCGUUACCGUAAGGAGGCGUGGAGUGUGUGCGAGUGAGAAUGCAGGCAUGAGUAACGAAUUGGAAGGUGAGAAUCCUUCCCGCCGGAUGACUAAGGGUUCCUGGGUCAAGUUCGUCUUCCCAGGGUGAGUCGGGACCUAAGGCGAGGCCGACAGGCGUAGUCGAUGGAUAACCAGUUGAUAUUCUGGUACCCGUAUAUCCGCGCCCAUGAUAAAGCACUGAUACUAACCACCGCGGAUACGAUUGAUGUGUUCUUUGAACACGUUGGUUGUUGAUGUCGUGGGGCCUGAUGUGUGGUUCAAGUGAUGGGGUGACACAGUGUAGUAGCCAUGCCGCUUAGUGGAUUGUUGGUGUAAGCGUGUGAGGUGGUGUGUAGGUAAAUCCGCAUGCUGUUAAACCUGAGGCGUGAUGCGUAGCCCAAGUGUGGGUGAAGUUGGUGAUCUAGUACUGUCGAGAAAAGCCUCUAGCGAUGUGGAUGUAUGGCCCGUACCCUAAACCGACACAGGUGGUCAGGUUGAAAAUACUAAGGCGUUCGGGUGAACUGUGGUUAAGGAACUCGGCAAAAUGCCCCCGUAACUUCGGGAGAAGGGGGACCACACGACUUAAGCACUCUUUGCGAGUGUGGUGGGUUGUGGGGUCGCAGAGAAUAGAGGGAAGCGACUGUUUAUCAAAAACACAGGUCCAUGCGAAGACGUGAAGUUGAUGUAUAUGGACUGACGCCUGCCCGGUGCUGGAAGGUUAAGAGGACCGGUUAGUAGUCUUUUGGCUGCGAAGCUGAGAAUUUAAGCCCCAGUAAACGGCGGUGGUAACUAUAACCAUCCUAAGGUAGCGAAAUUCCUUGUCGGGUAAGUUCCGACCUGCACGAAUGGCGUAACGACUUCUCUGCUGUCUCAACCACAGGCCCGGUGAAAUUGCACUACGAGUAAAGAUGCUCGUUACGCGCGGCAGGACGAAAAGACCCCGGGACCUUCACUAUAGCUUGGUAUUGGUGUUCGGUUCGGUUUGUGUAGGAUAGGUGGGAGACUAUGAAGCGGCCACGCUAGUGGUUGUGGAGUCGUUGUUGAAAUACCACUCUGAUCGGAUUGGAUGUCUAACCUUGGCCCAUGAUCUGGGUUGGGGACAGUGCCUGGUGGGUAGUUUAACUGGGGCGGUUGCCUCCCAAAAUGUAACGGAGGCGCCCAAAGGUUCCCUCAGCCUGGUUGGCAAUCAGGUGGUGAGUGUAAGUGCACAAGGGAGCUUGACUGUGAGACAGACAUGUCGAACAGGGACGAAAGUCGGGACUAGUGAUCCGGCACCUACUUGUGGAUGUGGUGUCGCUCAACGGAUAAAAGGUACCCCGGGGAUAACAGGCUGAUCUUCCCCAAGAGUCCAUAUCGACGGGAUGGUUUGGCACCUCGAUGUCGGCUCGUCGCAUCCUGGGGCUGGAGUAGGUCCCAAGGGUUGGGCUGUUCGCCCAUUAAAGCGGCACGCGAGCUGGGUUCAGAACGUCGUGAGACAGUUCGGUCUCUAUCCGCCGCGCGCGUUGAAACUUGAAGAAGGCUGUCCCUAGUACGAGAGGACCGGGACGGACGUACCUCUAGUGUGCCAGUUGUUCCGCCAGGAGCAUCGCUGGUUGGCUACGUACGGAAGGGAUAACCGCUGAAAGCAUCUAAGCGGGAAGCCUGUUUUAAGAUGAGGUUUCGUAUUUGAGGUCCCCCACAGACGAUGGGGUUGAUAGGCCAGACCUGGACGCACCGCAAGGUGUGAAGGCUACUGGUACUAAUAGACCAAAACAAACACACACA